CCCUUCUCUUCUUUCUCAUAUCAUUCUCAUUCACCCAUUCAUCAUCACAACCACAAUACUAUCUUCUCUCUCUCUCCAUGUCUCUCUCAGACCCCCCUUGAAGAUAGGCGAGACUCAUGGGGGAGGGAUAUAGAGUGAAAAGAGAGUAAUAGUGAGUGAGUGAGCCAUGAAAUUAACAAAUUAAACCCUCUCUCUCUCUCUUCCUCUUUCUGAGCGGUUCAACAAGAAAAAAGGGCCAUUUGGGACGGAAGCUUUGUCUUUUGAGGGGAAUGUUGUCUGGCUCGAGGACCCUUCUUCAUCUUGAUCUUGUGUAGACUACUAUGCUUGUGGUCAAGGAAUACAUAGUGUUGUCGGACCAGGCUUCAUUCCCCCCAAUUAUAUGCUUCCAAAUUCUUUUUCGACCGAAACCUUGGUAUCCUCCGGCCGAGGACCAGAAACAUACACCGAGAUUCAUCCGAGGUAGAUCUGAGUCGUGGGGUUUUGUUUUUGGAUGAAUUAAAGAUGUUGGUAGUUUGCAGAUUGGUGUAAUGAUGAAGCAUUUUGACCUGGGGGGUUUCACUUGUGCGCAAAAGGUUUUCAUCAUUACUUCCUUUUCGUUUCUUUCUUUUUCUCUGAUCAAGUUAUGAUGGUGUUUUGUUGUCAGGGGGGUGUAACUACCUUUUUCUUCGUUCAUCAUUAGCCAGAGAUCUUCUCCCAAGUAUGUUUUCCUGUAUCCGAUCUGUCUGUUUCUGCUAUGUUUUCUCAGAUCUGGCCACCUUUGAAACUCAGCUAAACAUUCUCCUCUUUUUCAAGCCCCUCCUCUUCCUCCCCCUUAAUUUUUUUUUCAUUCUACCUUUCUCUCUCUAUUUAGGGUUUCCUGGCCUAUGUUCUGUCUCUAAUCUCUACUAAGAUUUAUUUAUGUGAUAAUUAAGCUAGUCCUUGAGUCUUGGAUUUUUUUUAUUUUUUUUGUGAAUACCUUGAGUCUUAGAUGAAGAAGAAGCAAGUAGAUGAUGACACCCCUUUUACUUUUGUUAUUAUUUUAAUUAUUAUUAUUAUUAUUAAUUAGUCAUUUCACCACUGUCAAACCGUGUGGUCAAAUCGAGGCUUAAUUUGAUUAAAUGUGCCAUCUGUUACUAGAAUUAACAUUUAUAGUGUCAAGAGCCCUGUAGACUCCGCCCUCUCUUUAUUGGAUUUUAGUGGUCAAACAUUUGUUUCUUAAUUCCCUUUAUUAUAAGAAACAAUCAAUGCCUUUAAUGUGAUUUGUUACAUCUUAGUAAAUUGAUAGAUCCUUCAAUCUGUUCUUGUUAUUGUGGGUAACAUUUAGCUUCCUUCUAUGGCUGGAUAUAGUAAUGUCACACAGAUCUGUACUUUUUUUUCUGUUUGCUUUCAUUCGUUUUCAGUUCAAUUUGUAACUAAAAUGGAUAGAUCUGAGCACUGAUGAUACAGAAUAGGAUCAAUUUUUCAAGUGGGUGCUGCUGAACAGUGUAAGUUUUUCAACGGACAAUUUUAAUUUUUCCCUGGCUUUGAUAUCUCACAUUUGAUAGCUGAAACCCUAAUUUCCUGCACAAUAAAACAAACAAUGUACAAGAUGCUUCCUUUUGUACUCUUUAAGUUUCGAUGUUAAUUAAUCUAUUAGCUAGAAGAAACAAAAACUCUAUCAUUUAUAGUUACAGUUCUUCAAGGAUAACCUAUUAGUUUUUUCAUCAAGGAUAAUGAAUCUUGAUUAUGAGUUUGGUAAACAUUACAAUUGUGCAUUUUAGCCCUCUCAGUUUUCACUAAUCAUAGAAGCAACAAAAGAAUGUGAAUGCUUCGUUAGGAAGCAAAGAUUUUUAUGCAGAUGAUGAUUGAUGAAUGUUAGAGCGACUGUGCAUUGUCCCAGCCGGCCUCACCGCAGUGUUGCUAUUAGUAAGCUUUUUGUUUGUUAUUAUUAUUAUUAUUAUUAUAAGCUUAAUAAUUUGCAAUGAUGGGAACCAAUGAUUAAUUAUCUCUAACAAAAGAAUUUUGUUGGGGUCUCUUGUAUAUAACUUUUUAAAAAAAAAAAAUUGCCUUGUUUUCUUCAUGAGCACAGGGAUGUGGAAGAGACUACAGCUUCAUAUUAAGUUUGAUUCAGAAUAGAAGACAAAAUGGGUCUGCACAUAGCUAGGGGCAUUGGGGAACACGAAUGACAUAAUCACAGCGCUCAAUGCUCAUACAGCACCACUUUUCUUUAUCACCAUUGUUGUUCACACAUUCAUAUUACUUGCACGCAAAUCUGUACACUUUAUUAUUUUCAACGCAACCAAUGUAUCCAAACUCUCUUUACUAUAAUAUGUUCAUAAAAAGUAAAUAAAAAAAUCUUAAUAUAAUGAUAUUUGAAUUUUUGUUUUGAUCUAGAAAUUAUGACCUCGUGAAUUGACAUAAAAUUACAACAGACCAUACUAUGCUUGGAAUAUAUUGUCCUUUUUUUUUAUCAAAUUUCUCGGGGUAAAAGUUUUUUUCAUUUUGACUAUGCAUGAUCACUCUGUACCUUUGCUUGUUUUUUGUCUGUGCAGAAUUCUCAAGCAUAAAGAGUUGUGAAAUUCAACUUGAUCUUAAUUAAUUCCAUUCUUUUUAAUUAAUGUGAAUGGUCUUUGUAAUUAAAGGGAUUGAUUGUAGUAAUUCUACUUUAUGAAUAUGUGAAUGCUGUCUUAUAAAGAAUUGCUUUUGGGAAAUUGGAACCUUUUUGACCUUUUGUAAAGUAGCAUAAAGUUGAAGCCCUUGGGGGGGUUUGCUUUGCGGUUUCCCAUGCAUGAUAUGCUUGAGAGGGAGAAAGAGAAACUGCUGGGUCAUGCUUGCUGAAUUCCCAUACAGCUUUUAAGGUCACAGAAAUAACUUUUCCACGAAUAAUUGGAGGGCGAAUAAAACUAAGUAACCCCAAAAACAUUUUGGAUUCUUUGUACUACUAUUUGGAUAGGAAAUGUUGAGGACCUCUCUUAGUUUUUCCAUGCAUAUAUACAUAUAGACUAAAAAUGUUAACCACUGUA